AGGCUCAAAGGAUUCAAAUACUUGCCCAAGGUCCCAGGUUCGUUUGAUUGACAGAGCAUGAGUACCCUCCUAAAUGCCCCUUGAGGUCUCUAUAUUUAGGAGGAAGCAGCUUCAGAACUCUAGCUCCCCACCCCAGGUCCAUUCCAGUUUAGAAACUCCACAGCCACCUCAACAGCAGGAACAAAGGUGGGUCUCUGUCCUGCCUCUGGGGCCAGGCUGGCUGAUGGCUUCAGGCCCAACCAAAAGAUCCCUUCCACCCACCCGACUCUAGCAACACCCACAUCACCAACCCUGGGCCUCCCACCAGAGCCUCCACCUUCUAGGAAGUCACCCUCCCUCCUGCAAGAUGCUGGUGGCUGAGACUGGAGGGACCCUUUCAAUUUCAGGAUAAACAAACUGUCGUUCUGGCCCAGCCCUCUGCCGGCUUGCUGCUUCCCGCCCCCCUCCAUCCGCAGUGCACAGUCGCUCUGUUCUCCUGCCAACUUGGCAGCUCAUCGCUGCUGUUACUAUCAACACCUCCAAGGGAAAAGGGAGAGGAGUCAGCUCUGAUCGCCUGGCGCACUGUGCAGCAAAUUCAUGUCAGAGCCAGCCUUGGAAUGUCUCCCAAGCUCCCAAGGCUCCUGGUGAGGAGGAAAAGGGAUAACCUUAGGUACCUCACUGGGUUACAGCCGAUGGUGAUGAAGACAUGAAGAUGAUGCCUGUGUUCUCCUUGGGAGCCUUUCUCCCAGAUGUGAAACUGAUCCUAAGACCCCCUGUAAUUUCCUGCUGAAAAUCUCCACCAAGAAACACAGCCACAGCCACAGUUCUUCCUGGUAAGAAGCCCCCAGGGCCAGGCAACAAGAAAAGUGAGCUCGUUCAGCAGGCUGGGAUGUAAAUAAGCCACAAGAGGCUGUGCCAUUCUGGGUUGCACCUGUGAGCAUCACUCAGCUGAAGCCCCAUCAGCGUUUCCAUGACAAACUCGUAUUUCCGGAUGCCUUUCUUCCAGCUUGAAGAGCCUGCCUCGUGGUUGUGAAAAGUGAAAAAGAAAAUCUAAAAAAGACAAAUGGAGAAGGAACAGCUAGUGAAGUCAGAGGAAGAUUGGAAGACCCUGGUGUCCUGGAAGCAACUGAAGAAAGUGUUUCAAGAAGAAAGGAGUGAUCACAUGACUUAAAAUGCCACCGAUGGGUCAAAUAAGAACAGAGAAUUGACCAUGGAAUCUGUCAACACAGAAGUCAUCAGUGGCCUUGAUAAAUGUAGUUUCACUGCCAUGUGGGGGAAAAAUGAUGUCAUCAGCUGAAAGUGAGAAGCAAGGAGAACUGCGUGCAGGCCUGAAAAGAAAGGAGGCGUGAUGCAGUCAUCUGCCAGAGGGAGUAGGAGAGGCGACUUGCCUGGGGAAAACAGUGUAGGAUUGCUGGGCAGCAAUAUGGCAGCAAUGUGGUCCUCUGAGGAACGGCCACGUGAGGACACAGCAAGAAAGUAGCCAUCUACAAUUCAGGAAGAGUCUUCACCAGAAACCAAAUUGGACAGAAUCUUGGUCUUAGACUACUAGUCUCCAGAGCUGUGAGAAAAAAAAAAUCCAUGCUCAAGCCACCCACUCUAUAGCAUUUCGUUAUGGCAGCCAAGCUGAUGAGUACAAGCAUCAAAGAACUUGCAGACAUAUUUUAAUGUCACUACAAGGCCCCAGGGUUUAUACCCCGCUCCUGGGAUGAUGUUCAGCUAUUGGGAGGAGAUAGGCCAAUGAGAGACAGAUCUCCACUCUCAACGUCACAGCCUUGAGGGAAGUGUCCAGGCAGGAGCAGACCUGCUUCUACAGGCCUGGGGAAAUUGCUACCCAAGGUCAGGCCUUCGUCAUGGUCUGCAGCCGGUGGAACACCACUGGCCUAUUCUGAGGAUGCCCUGAGACUUGAGACUCUGCCAGC
rnacentral:lncRNA from 1 species